UCUGCCCCUAGAGGUGUGCAGGUGUGACUGCUGUGUGGAUGUGCAUUUGUAGGUAGGUGGCAGAGAGGAGAGGCUGUGUCUACUCUCAGUGUUCUGACCUAUAAUCAUCUGAAUCAUUAGUAGCCUAACAUU
ensembl:snoRNA Gm26419 small nucleolar RNA SNORA17